GAUGAACGCUGACAGAAUGCUUAACACAUGCAAGUCUACUUGAACUUCGGUUUGGGUGGCGGACGGGUGAGUAACGCGUAAAGAACUUACCUCACAGUUAGGGACAACAUUUGGAAACGAAUGCUAAUACCUGAUAUUAUGAUUUUAGGGCAUCCUAAGAUUAUGAAAGCUAUAUGCGCUGUGAGAGAGCUUUGCGUCCCAUUAGCUAGUUGGAGAGGUAACGGCUCACCAAGGCGAUGAUGGGUAGCCGGCCUGAGAGGGUGAACGGCCACAAGGGGACUGAGACACGGCCCUUACUCCUACGGGAGGCAGCAGUGGGGAAUAUUGGACAAUGGACCAAAAGUCUGAUCCAGCAAUUCUGUGUGCACGAUGACGUUUUUCGGAAUGUAAAGUGCUUCCAGUUGGGAAGAAAAAAAUGACGGUACCAACAGAAGAAGUGACGGCUAAAUACGUG
rnacentral:rRNA from 1 species